rnacentral:rRNA from 2 species
CGGCGAUACCCGAAUGGGGAAACCCAGUGUGACUCGUCACACUAUCAUUAACUGAAUCCAUAGGUUAAUGAGGCGAACCGGGGGAACUGAAACAUCUAAGUACCCCGAGGAAAAGAAAUCAACCGAGAUUCCCCCAGUAGCGGCGAGCGAACGGGGAGGAGCCCAGAGCCUGAAUCAGCAUGUGUGUUAGUGGAAGCGUCUGGAAAGGCGCGCGAUACAGGGUGACAGCCCCGUACACAAAAGCGCAUGUGCUGUGAGCUCGAUGAGUAGGGCGGGACACGUGGUAUCCUGUCUGAAUAUGGGGGGACCAUCCUCCAAGGCUAAAUACUCCUGACUGACCGAUAGUGAACCAGUACCGUGAGGGAAAGGCGAAAAGAACCCCGGCGAGGGGAGUGAAAAAGAACCUGAAACCGUGU